rnacentral:rRNA from 1 species
GACGAACGCUGGCGGCGUGCCUAAUACAUGCAAGUCGAACGCUUUUUCUUUCACCGGAGCUUGCUCCACCGAAAGAAAAAGAGUGGCGAACGGGUGAGUAACACGUGGGUAACCUGCCCAUCAGAAGGGGAUAACACUUGGAAACAGGUGCUAAUACCGUAUAACACUAUUUUCCGCAUGGAAGAAAGUUGAAAGGCGCUUUUGCGUCACUGAUGGAUGGACCCGCGGUGCAUUAGCUAGUUGGUGAGGUAACGGCUCACCAAGGCAACGAUGCAUAGCCGACCUGAGAGGGUGAUCGGCCACACUGGGACUGAGACACGGCCCAGACUCCUACGGGAGGCAGCAGUAGGGAAUCUUCGGCAAUGGACGAAAGUCUGACCGAGCAACGCCGCGUGAGUGAAGAAGGUUUUCGGAUCGUAAAACUCUGUUGUUAGAGAAGAACAAGGAUGAGAGUAAAAUGUUCAUCCCUUGACGGUAUCUAACCAGAAAGCCACGGCUAACUACGUGCCAGCCGCCGCCGUAACAC